UAACCGUAGGUGAACCUGCGGUUGGAUCAUUUGAAAGAUCAUAAAUAUCAGCCUUUCUAAAAGCUGGUUAACAUCCAUGUGCACCAAAAAAUGUCCUUGGUGGGGGGGUGGUCUUUUGACCAUCUGUCAGCAUGCGCUUUCUUUGCUUCAUGCCGUGGACAUCCCACCAACUGUAAAUUGAGAACAUUUAAGUAACUUUUUUUUGUCUGACAAUGUACUUUGUAUAAAUUAAAUAUACAAAACAACUUUUGGCAACGGAUCUCUUGGCUCUC
rnacentral:misc_RNA from 1 species